rnacentral:lncRNA from 1 species
GCUACCUGUUACACUUGUGUUAAUUGGUUUAAGUAGAGAGUACUGAAUCUUCUGAAUUGCAUAACUGCCUACCUUGCUCUUGUCUUAUCUUUGAUUAUUUGCCAUGUGUAUUCAACAUCAUGUCUGCUUAGAUUUUAGAAAAGCAUGUUUGAGAAUCACAUUAGGGCAAUGUCUAAAUAAGAAUUAGCAUGUUAAGGUUGAUUCUGUUGUUACCACUGUUAAAGAAAAAUCUCUAAUCCAUCCGGACCCAGUUAUGAUUGGGGACCAUAGAACACUUUCCAUUUGUGAUUGCAGGUUACAUAUGUUCCAUAUGAUUUUUGGUGCACUCUGUUUGCUGAGUAGCUGAAAUCAUAUAUUUACCAAAAGUACCCUGUCAGCAAAUGUGAUCGUGUGAGCAGUUCCGUCAAUAAUCUUUGAAAGAUGACAACAAAGAUUCUCUUGCGGGACAUGCCUGUUUUCCUGGAAUGUCAUCAUGGAAACAUAUCUUUCUUGAAAGAGUCAAAGCACACAAAUUCCUAGUAUCAGACUGUUCUCUGACAAAGGACAUUAUGUCAGUUCAUGGAAUAGUGUUUUAUCUCAAAUCAGGAAGGAUUUGAAUUUGCUCGUAGCUAAUAUGUAACUUCAAUUGAAGAUGGAGUGAGCUGUUUCGAUAGUAAAGCUUCAUCAGAUAAGUGUUAGCUAUGGCAUCUGAAGCUCUCGCACUUGUAUGUCAAAACAAGGAGCUCUUUCUAUUCGUAAGAAGAGAAUUGGUGAGAGGACUACCUCAUCUGGAAUUCAAUAUGGAU